rnacentral:lncRNA from 1 species
GCCAGUAAUCAAAAAGUCAAUGAGAUCAAUCAUGAUGUGUUAGCAAAGGAAAAAUCUGUUGCUGAGGAAGGGAAGUCUGCCAGCGAACCUUUGGACUUUGAAGCUCUGUACCCCCUAACACGUCUUCCAGUGGUAUUGGUUUCCGUUAGUUGCUUUGCAGAAGUUGCUUAUUCUUAAGCUGUAUUUUAUUGUCUAGUUUAAUUCUCUUUGUGAGCUUACCCUUUUUUUUUCUGUUACAGGAGGGAGAUCUGAUUGCUUAUCGAUUGGUUACGCUGUCUUCCUUGUGGUGUCCGGAGAUUUCUUCGUAUCGGGUAUGACACUAUUUCUACUAGAAGUUUCAAUUUCUUAUGGAAGCACUUCUGCAUGGGUCAUUUGUUGCUUCAAACAUGCGAGGGCAAACAUGAAAGCAAAACACAUCUUAAAUAUUCGAGCCAUCGGCUGUGCUUUAAUUUGGGCAACCUAUGUUUCAUCAUUUUACACACUGUUUCAGGUUGGUAAAGUUCUUAUGUAUGAUCUGAUAUCAUCGCGCAUCAUUCUGUUACCUGUUCCGGAGCAUCCAAUCAUCACGGAGGAAAUGACAUGCGAGGACGAGUCAGAUGCUAUGAUGGUGGAUACGUCACCCUACAAGGAAGAUGGCUCCUUGGAGGUAAUCACUCGCUCGUGUUCAAUUCCCAAUCUAGCCACGUGCGCAAACCCGGUAAACAUCACCCUCAGCGUCUACUGCAUGCAGAUUGAGUACUCCAACCUUCUCGAUGUAAGACUAGUGAAGGGCAGCAAGCCAGUAUCCGCAGACCUUAGCACUCCCAUUAGAGAAACAGGGAAGGAAGGCAAAUCACCAGUCGGAGAACCGGUCGCCUUGGACGAAAACAAGGGCAAAGUUCAUAGCCAGAAUGGAACCUCGGUGCCAGCCUUGGACGAAAACAAGGGCAAAGUUCAUAGCCAGAAUGGAACCUCGGUGCCACCAGAUAGCAGUAAAGGCCCAGAAGCGCCACCAGGUAUAGUAGACCUAUAGCUAAUCUCUUCCUCUAUACCUAGCAGGUCUUGCUAUUGUACGCGAUUUAGAAACAACGUUUUUUUUGCGCAGAGAACACGCGUGAUAAGGCCUGGGAGGCAAGCAGCGAGGUCCCAAACGGCAAGCCUGACGAUGAAGCCGAGGGGAACAAUGGGUGGGGAGCUUGGAAACAGAACGCUAGCACGUCGGCGUGGUCGUAUAGAGCGCAGAGAAGCACCGCCCUUGGUCCGACCCUCGCGCUUCUGAGAGGCAACAAUGGCAGAGGAGGUGGCAGGGGAGGCGGUAGGGGAGGCGGUAGGGGAGGCGGUAGGGAAGGCGGCAGGGGAGGCAAACCCAACAACCGGAAGUACGGCAAGUGAUGAUGUGUUAGCACGGCGCGUUCGGCGUUCGGGAGUUGCUGAUUCAUUUUGUAUGCGAUGCCUGGCCGAACGAAUAUGGCGUCUUGUUAGCAGUUGUCAAAACCAUUUGGGGGAAAAACAAGAUAAUGUCUGUUUAACUGUCGAUUCGGGAUUUAAACGACCACGUGAAUGCAAUUGAUCAUCAUGC